rnacentral:rRNA from 1 species
GACGUAGGGCGCGAGCGUUGUCCGGAUUUAUUGGGCGUAAAGGGCGCGUAGGCGGCUUGCCAAGUCGGGGGCGAAAUCCGGCAGCUUAACUGUCGAAGUGCCUUCGAUACUGGCAAGCUCGAGGGAGGUAGGGGUCUGUGGAACUUCUGGUGGAGCGGUGAAAUGCGUUGAUAUCAGAAGGAACGCCGGUGGCGAAAGCGACGGACUGGACCUCUUCUGACGCUGAGGCGCGAAAGCUAGGGGAGCAAACGGG